CAUCUUCCUGGACUGUCCACCCUGCUUUUAGAACCCUGGCUCAGCUCCCUCCAGGCUUGGCCUCAGUCACCUCGCGAAGGGAGUGAAAGUUGUAGAGAUAGGGCAGAAAUCGGAGCCCUUUGGACUGACUUCCUUGGUGUCCCAUUAAAGAUUAAUCAGCGAGGACGCAUAGAGAGAGGCCUUUGGGAGCCCGCUAAGGGCCGCUGGAGCUCCUCGGGCCUCCCUGGCCUUGUCCAAGGCUCUCCAUCAGGAAGUGGAGGUUGGAGAAGUUCUCGGGAGGCACCCCAACCCCAGCGGGCCCCUGGAUCCUCCUUUAUCUUGGGCCCCGGGGAAACAGCAUUCAGGGAGCCGGGCCAGGUAGUGAUGCCGGCAAAGAGAAGGCGGCUCCGAGAGGCUGAGGAAGGGCGAGGGAAAAAGAAAGGAUUUCACCAGCGGGUGUUUCGCAGGCCCUGAAGUUCAGAGACGCACCAUCUCCCUUCAGUGCCUCGUUAAACAUUAAAUCGGUGGACCAGGGUGAGGCAGUUUCUGAGUCAGGAUGACCCGGAUUCCAAUCCUGUUCUGGCACACAACACGGACGACAUCAUUUAACCUUCCGCUGUCCCAGCCACUCUCGGAGAGUUUCCUUCAAUGUAACCAGCACUGAAAAAGAGGAAAGAGGACAUACAGAUAUUUUAUUUCGAGUAUUAAAUGCUUCUGCUUUGGCUGAUCAGACCAAAACAAAUGCUAAGACUAACAAGUAAUACAAUACAAAAUACAAUAAAUCAUGCUGGUACCAAGAAUACUUGUGCCCACACAUACAAAGAAUAAAUUGGAGAAUUCCCUUAA